UCAUCAUUGUUCAGGUCUUCCUUUAGC
rnacentral:piRNA from 1 species